rnacentral:lncRNA from 1 species
CAUAGAAUUUGCGACUCAAAAAUGAAGUUUGGAUUAAAGGAGAAUAUUGUAAUAAUAAUUCAAACUUAAUUUAAAAUUUAGUUAGAGAUAGAGUAUAUCUAUAUUAUAUAUUGAUGUAAUUAUAGUAGGAUUUGUCUAAAGUAAAAGUUGAAUUUAUCAUAUAUUAUGGUUUCAUAGCUAUAUAUAGUUAGACACAGAUUAAUUAGAGAAAGAAGCCACAAUAAACAUGACUGCAUGGGUGUUGCCUAAGAUGUAAUUAAAUAUUUUUUAUUAAUAAAGUAUUAGUUUAGUUAUCUUCUUUCGUCUCCAAUAUCUUUUCUUCAUAUUAUAUUUUGUUCUAUUUUAGAUUUUAGGUUACAUAAUCGAUAUUAGCAUAAGUACGGAUUCUAACAAUUGGUAUCAGAGAAAAUUACGCUUCUAAUAUAAAAUGACUUAUUGACACGAGAGUUUUAUGUAAUUUAGCCUUCUAUAUAAUUUGAGGGUAAAAGGUAAAAAGAGCUCAAAU